UCAUGGAUCUUCCUAUGACCUUUCCUUGA
rnacentral:piRNA from 1 species